GGGGGAGGCAAUAGGGAAAGUACAGAAGCAGCUUCUUAAUUUGGAUCCAGCAAACAAAAGGAAACAUCAAAUCUGACCUCGCUGCUGGAGUGUUAAUGGCUUUCUCCCAUCGCGCCCCCUGCCACUUAGCAUCUUUUGUGCCCCACCCUGGGAAGCUUCCCGGCAGAAGUGUGCAUUAGCAGAACUCUACAGUUACAAAAUGCUGCUUACUACAGACAAGGGAAAAAAAAACCUUCAGUGAUUAAAUGUUCUUUGGACAAACACAUCCAUAGCUAUAAAAGUACCAUUUUUAUUUCAGGCAAGCCUCUCAGUGAUGUCCCUGCUGUGGCCACCAGCACAAAGGAGUGUUUUACCUAGAACGUCGGUGAAACCCUUCAAAGAAGAUCCAGGGUGGCCUAGAACAAAAGAGGAAGAUAUUUGCUGACAAGGCUUAAAAAUAGAAGGAUGACUGUUUUUCGUAUUGUGAUCAAGGUCAACAGCAAGGAAGAAAUUUACAUGAGUGCAUCAUAAAUGAAGCUAGCUUGAAACCAUGAGGGGCCAGCUGAGGGCAAAGCUGCCACAUAGAAGAUGGCAGAGCAGAAGGAUGGAAAGAACUGGAACUUUUGAUGACCCUGUGGAGCCUCUAAAGCAACCAAGGCUGCUGUGACUACUGCUUUUCUGGGUAUUGGUGAAGGAGGGGUGAGUGGGACACACCAAGUCCCUGCUCUCAGCAAGUUUCUAGAAGAGCAAGAAGACAGAAGGAACAUAUGAUGUGAAUUUUAAAUGACCAAGAUCGGCGCAUAAAACACGUAAGUAUGAUAGAACACUAUGAUUUUGAAGUCAUAUUCUCCAUUUCUUCAGGAGCACAGCAGGUAAGAGAAAAUUUUCUUUUGAUCUCUCUCCUUCCCCACCCCCCCCUUAUUCUGUUGACCUUGUGACUCUACCAUCAAAGCUAAGUAUUGGUCUCAACUGUAACUACUUACUGGCAUCAUGGGGUACUUCACAGUGCACUUUAAUGUGAUGUUAAAAUUUUAAUAUGAGGUAGAAAUGAGAGCCAACUUUUCUUGCCAAUGUCAGUAAGCUAAAGAAUUAAUUGCAACAUCAGGGGGAAAGAUAAAAAGAAAACACCCCAGGCUUACCAAUAUUACUGAGUCACCAUUUUUGCUGACAGAAGUGGGUAUUGGUUCCUGUCAACCCUUUAGAAUGAGCACCUCAAAGUAUUAUUUUAUUCUCCAGGCUUUGACUUUAUUGAAUUAAUAGCAUAAAAUGAAUCCCUCCUUUCCCUUCACCUCCCAUAUUCCAGUUAUUAAAACACAAAACCAUGUUUCCUUAGGACCUAGGUGAAUCUUAAAUGCUAUAAAUACGACCUCUAAACACGAGGGAGAUUAUUCAACAAUGACACUAGUUGCUCUUGGCUUUGGCUGGGGCACCUGGAGCCUCCAUGGCUCUGGUUAGCAAUUCUCUUGGUCUCUGCAGAAACCACUCAUAUUAUGCCUUGAAUUCUAAUCCCUUUAUUAAUGUCAUAAAAAAUUAAAAUGAGGAUAUAUGUCCUGUUAAGGGCUACAGUUUAAGGAGAAGGCAGGCAAUCCAGACUGGGACCAUUUGAAGGGGACACUGGUUGUAAUCAUAACUGAGAAGUAUACUGACAUAAUGGAAAGAGCAAGUCGUUGGGGUCAGAGUCCUGGCCUCUCUGCUUAACAGCUGUUUGCCUCUGAGUGAGUCAUCUAACUUCCCUGAGCCCCAAUUUUCCUGAGGGUAAAACAGAGAUAGUCCCUCCUACUGUGUGAGAUUGUUUAUAUAUUGAGAUAAUACGUGUAAAAUCAUUAGCAUAAUUCUUUGAAUAUACUAGUUACUCAAAAAUGGGAAGCUAUUAAUAAACUCUCACUUUAAAAUAUUCAAAAUAUUCUUUUCAAUAGACUUGAGAGGGCCCCUAUGUACCAUUGUUCAGGGCAUCUUAAUGUACUGAUCAUAUACUGUACAACUUUGGAGGCAUAGUGCAUGUCAAGUCCAGAAUCUCAUUCCCAUUUUGCAAAUGUAGUAAAUAAACUUUUAAGGGAGUAAAAGAAAUGCCCCAAAUUGCAUAAGUAGUAAGUGGCAGAACUAGAUCUUAAACUUCAGCCAUCUAUUUUCAAAACCAUUGUUCUAUUUACUAUUCACCCAUGAAUCCAAAGGUAUUUAAUUCCUUGAAGGCAUUGCUCUGGGAACUGGAGACACAGCAGUGAAAAAAACUGUCAUAAAUAAAUAAUAACCCCCAUGGAGCUUUCAUUUUAGUAGCAGGACGUAGAUGGCAAGUGAAAAAAAAAUAUAUAUAUAUUACAUCAGAAAAUGAAAAGAAUUUUGGAAAACAGUAAAAAAGGGAAUGGGGUAGAGUGUGCUGGGGAAAAAGGAGGGCACCUUCGUCGAUGAGAUGGCAUUUGAGCAAGAAGGAAGGAUGUAAGGUGGAGGUGGGGGGCAGCAGGUUGACCUCUGGAAUCUGAGAAAAGAACAUUCUAGGGAGUGGAAAUAGCCAGUGCAAAGGCCCUAUGUUUGGAUAAGAGUAAAAAGUCCAGUGUAGCUGGAGCACGCUCAGCAAGGGGAACCCCAAAGAGAUGAAGUCAGGUAAGGGCCUGUGUGCAAUGACAGAGGCAGAACAGCCAGGUUAUAUUGGGCCUUGUCUGCUGUCCUAGAGACUGGCUUUUAUUCAGAGUGAAACAGAAGCCACUGAAAUGUGUUGAACAAAAGCAUGAGGUUCUGACUUAGUUUCUGAUAGGUCGUUUUUGCUGCUUGAUUGUGAACAGUGUGUGAAGCAGGAAUAGGAGCACAAGGGUGGUUAGGAGGCUUCUGUUACUGUAGUCCAGGCAGGAGGGGAUGAAGGCUCAGGGGUGGUCAUGCGGGUAGAGAGAAAUAGAAUCUGGAAUAUAUUCUGAAGGUAGAACCAACAUGUUUAUUAUUAAAAGAUUGGAAUGUGGGGUAUGAGAAAAAGGGGAAAGUCAAAACGACACCAAAGGUUUUGACCUGAACAACUAGACAGGCAGAUUUGCCAUUUACUGAGAUGUCAAAAAUUUAGAUGGGGCACGUGGGGGGCUCAGUAGGUUAAAUGUUCGACUUCAGUUUAGGUCAUGAUCUCACAGUCUGUGGGUUCAAGCUCCAUGUUGGGCUCUGUGCUGACAGCUCAGAGCCUAGAUUCUGCUUCUGAUUCCGUGUCUCCCUCUCUAUGCCCCUAUCCCACCCUUGUCUCUCGAAAAUAAACAUUAAAAUUUUUUUUUAAUUUAGAAAAGCAGAUUUUGAGGAUAAAUUAGCGAUUUGACAUCAAAAGAAAAUAUAAGCACUAAGACUAUUUCUCAGAAGAAUUCGAAGACCACUAUAACCUUCUGAAAAAGCUAUAAAAUUCUCUAAUAUAAUAAUCACUUAUUUGCUAAUAAAGAUACUGAUGUAAUAAUCUUUCCCAUAAAUCACAUGUGACCUUAAUUUAAUAACCAAAUAUUUCUUUUGCUGAAAAGUUUCAGAUUUUCAGGCAUUUCAAAGGUCAUUUGAUGAAAUUCAUCACACUGCAUGUCUUAUAAUGUUAUUUAUUUUAAUAAAAAAGCAUGUAUAUUUAAAACACAGGCAGAAUACAAAAGUAUAGCCAUGUGAAAUGAAGACUAAAUCAAACAAUAAAUACACAUAAUGCUCCUUCUAAAUGGUCAAGUGCUGUCCAGUUAUGGAUAGGCAAGUUAUUUUAUUUCAUAGAAGAAAAAAAAUGAGGCUAUAUCUGCAACUCCCUUACCAUUUCGUAAGUAACCAUAGAAGCUUGAAAUAUUCGAAAUCUCAUUCCCGGGAAUUCUUGCCUUGUUGUGCACAGAUUCCAUUUUGAAAGACCUGUGGGGGAAAAACAAAGGAUAUUAUUAAAGAUGUAUGAAAAGUAUUUUUAGAAAUCAAUUGAAGAGUGCACGACCACUUCAAAAAAUUCAGGAACUGAACACAGAUUAUUUUUAGCAAUGUUGUCCACAUUAAUGUCUUUGGUAAAUCUUUAUUUCCCCACUUUGUUCCUAUCCAGAACCUUAAUCCCAGUUGAAUUGUGAAUCUUAGUUUAUACCAGAAUUACCUUGUGACUCACUUUUGUAGGAGUCCCACUAUGUUAAGUCCUGUUAUUUGUGGCUAAUGCAAUGAAUUUUUCAAUCCUAAAAUGUUGAUAUCUGCCAAAGAGUUCUCCCCAGGUACAGUAAGGACCUGAUGGAGGCAGGCUUUACACUAGUGCCAGUGAUUUAAUCAUAGGAACUUUGAGAUACUCUUCAGGAAUACUCUCAUAGGCAGAUGGCUCUUUCCUUAAAAUGCAUUUACGUCAUGUACCCAGUUGUUAAGUACACCAGGAUUUUCUCAACCUUUACAACCACAGUGAAAUGUUAGCGAAACGGCCAAAUCUGUUGGAAGGAUUUGGUGUGACAAAUCCAAUACACGUUAUUUUGAUUUCCUAAAAAAUGACAUACAGUCCCUGACAGCAGAUCAAAGUUGAAGUGACUAUUUUACGGAGGCAGUCUCUAAUCCUGACACCUCUACUCAAUGAUUUUUUUUCUUAAUGAAGAAUUUUGUAAAGAAUGAACUAAUGUAUGACAACAAUUUUAAGGCCAUUUAGUGGAAAGCAUGCUGAAAGCCCUUAAUCUCCCUUUAGGACACCAGACACAUCCUCUACAUUCUGUACUUCUUACCAGGAGCAAACUCAGAAUGAAAACUUCCAGCAAACAGUAACUCAUCAACUUAGUGGGGUCAUGAUUAGGCAAAUAUAAUUUGUUAGUAGCCUAGUUUUUUAAGAAUUUGAAGAAAUCUUAGUAGUCACCUAUCCCAUCCACUUCAUAUCCUACGUGAGGAAAGCCAGGCCCAGAGGGGCUAAGUGACUUGUCCAAAGCGACAUGGCUAGUUAAACAACAAAACCAGGAUUUAUUCCCAGGUUUUCUGGCUUCAGGCUGACGGGAUUUUUGUUAACCAUAUUUAAGUGCUUUGUAAUUUUCUUAGUACUAGAAGGGAAAAUAAAAGAAGCCUAUUUGAAAUUUAAAUGUGUGUGUAUAUAUAACAUAUUUAUAUUUUAUAUUUAUAAACAGAAAAAAAGAAAAGAGGAAAAUUAAGUAUGCAAAUCACAGAAAUUUACCAAUCUGUUUCCUCCCUCUUAAGGCCACAGAACAGAAAAUGGGAAAUGCUAUAGUAUAGAAUCAUUAUAAUGGAAGGAAGCAUAACACUGAAUCCUAUGUAAUCCACAUAGACUUGUUACCCAACUUGCUAGGUCUACUGAGGGCAGAAACUGUGCCUAUUAUAUAGUGCCUGGCACAGAUACAUGUUGAACUGAGCUCCUAUCACAUAACAGAAAUGUCAAGGACCAUUUACCACCAUGUAGUAGGCACUUCAGACAAUGUCUCUUCUGUGAAGGCUUUCUGUUGGUUUCAUCUCACACUAAUUAUUCUCUUUACUCUGGCCACCAAAAUACUUAUCUACACUACAAAUAUUUUUCUUCAUUUCUUUGCCCUACUUCAGUGUUUCUAUUUAUUUCAUGUGUAUUAUUUUUAUCAUUUGAAUUAGUUCCUAUCCAAAUGAGACAUUUAUUUAUACUUCCUCUGUAGGCUAGUGCUAAGGAUAUAUUCAGUAAGCACCUGAAUUCAAUCCUCUAACAUCAUACAAUGAAAAGCUAUACUAAUUUUAGCAGUGGAAGAAGGUAAACACACAGAGUUAAGUUUAGUAAUUAAUGCGGCUCUGGAAUUAGAAUGGAGCUCUGCUUUGAAUCAGCCUCUAAGGAGGUGAAUUUGUCUUGAAGAUAAAUUCUCAAGACUCAAUGCCCUCAUCUUUACAAGGAGCAAAUUAAUAAUACCUAUAUGCCAGCUUUGCAUAUUAAAUGAAAUCAUGUAAGUGCUUACAUGGUGACUAAUAGAUAUUAAACAUGCAAAAAACAAUAGCUAUUUUUACUAAACUGUACUUUUUGUAAAUGAAUUACUGAUAGCUUCCUCUAGUUUAAUACACCAAAGUAUAAAUUAAAUGGUGGGAUUUCAGGUAUGAAAUUUUAAAACUUUUUCUGAUGAUAUAUGAAAUACAUUAUUAUUGGCAUUUACUUAAAUGUUCUUUGUUCAUAUUUAAUUCACAGCAAGUAAAAUGGAUUUCAACGUGUGUAUGAAUCAAUCUAUCUAUCAUCCACCUUUCUAUCUACCUAUCUAUUAUUUCAUUCAUCAUCCAACACUAUGAUUUUCCUGGCACAUAUUAUGAAAGCAAUAUAUAUUUGUUGAAUGAAUAAAUUUUAAAAUAUAUAGAUUUAUUGCCCAGAUUAUCCUCUAAUCUCAAUGAAUUAAUAGCAAGAUUUUUCUUAAAUGUGUUUUAAGCUAAAGGAGUUGCUGCAUAUUUAGUCUUCACUUAGGAGACUAAAAGAAAGGAGGAUGGAAAGGAGGGCGGGAGGUUAGAGAGAUGAAUGAAUACAGCAAAUAAUGAUAAUUUUUAAUGUCCCAAAUAACAAUAGUCAAAAUCUUUAUGCAUGUCUUACCUGUC